rnacentral:rRNA from 4 species
UACGUAGGUGGCAAGCGUUGUCCGGAUUUAUUGGGCGUAAAGCGAGCGCAGGCGGUUUCUUAAGUCUGAUGUGAAAGCCCCCGGCUCAACCGGGGAGGGUCAUUGGAAACUGGGAGACUUGAGUGCAGAAGAGGAGAGUGGAAUUCCAUGUGUAGCGGUGAAAUGCGUAGAUAUAUGGAGGAACACCAGUGGCGAAGGCGGCUCUCUGGUCUGUAACUGACGCUGAGGCUCGAAAGCGUGGGGAGCAAACAGG